CGCGCUUAUCUUUUUCUAGAAUGCUGCGGCGGUCUUACACUCGCAGGCUCGACUGCGAAGGUAAACGUCAAGAUAGCCGCCGUGUUAAAAGAUAGGCAGAAUUUUCCCGCUCAAAACAAAACCACGUGGUUUUCGCGAAAUGACAGCAGUGUUCGAUUGUAUUAGUGAGAGGCAACCGGAGUCACUGAGUACAUGGACAGUGUUUAUCAUGGCAAGUGCAUACGGUGGGUGAGAUUUUCAUUGACUCUGUUGUGUUUAGUGACCGUUGCGAUUACCUGAGAAGCAACCAGCAGGAAAUCGCAGUAUUCUAUUUUAUCUCGAGAUGCAUAAUAUAUGGAGCUGUCAAAAUAAUGGGUAUUUUGAAAUUUUUGAUAAUGUGUACUUUUACCUCAUUUGGGAGUUAAAAGAUUUUACCCAUUAAUGAGUGAAAAUCUACUUAAUUUUUUUGUGACAACCAAAUCGAGAGGAAAAGCGGAGAAGCUGAACGAGCUGUACGAGGUUUCGUGUGGAUUGAAUCUAACGGCGUUUCAAUUUGUUUUGUUAAAUUAUGGUCGUCGGGGAACAAAAACAAAUCAUCACCAGACAGGAUGGGAUUUCGCCUCUAUACUUCUGUACCGCCGUAUACAAAUGUUGGGGCCACACAGGAUUUGUUUCGCGAUGAAUGAUGAAGCCACCCGGAUAAAAAUUUACAGUUCCUUGUAUGAUCCAGAUCCAGAUUUUCUCCCAACUUCGGAAGUAGUGCGCUGGAUUCACCUAAAGAUGCGCUAAACAACACAUCAAUUAGUUUGACAGAUAAAAUUUGAGAAGAAUGUUCGGUUCGGAAGUCCCGACUUCCAAAUUCUAAGUUGGUGCUACGCCGACAAUACUGAUUCUGCGAGCAAGCGACGGCCGAUCAUUUUCCGCUGUACCGUGAAAUUGAAUUAAUGAUAAAACACUGCUGCAUGCCCAUCACUGAUGAUUCAAUAUCGUUCGGCGACUAUCAUCGAGCUAUAUCACCAACGGGAUACAAUAAAAAAUUAAACAGGAAAAAAAAAUUCGAGCGGCAUUAGUUACAGCGGCUUCAGUGAGUAUAUCCGGUUGGAUCAUUGGCGACUGAAAUCUACGUUUAUGAAUCCCGGUCUGAAUUUUUUUUUUCUAAAUUUCAUAUAAUUUUAAAUUGCAUUAAAUUGAAAUUAUUUUAAAAUCAAAUUAA